UAAAUAAGAAACAAUUAAUUGUAUUUAGUUUCGACCUAAAAUUUUGAUGUUAUUCAUCCUUAUUUAU
rnacentral:tRNA from 2 species